AAAAAAUAAUAAAUAUGAAUGAUUUAUUGUAAUUAUAAUAACUAUAAUAUGUUAUUUUUUAAUUACUUUUUAUGAUCCAUAUUUUAUAAAUUAACAUCAUUACAUAAUCAAAUGUAACAUAGAUACAUUUUGAUAAAUUUAUGUAAUUUUUUUGGUAUGUUUUUAGGGAUAUGAUGCAGGAAUUGUCAAGUUGAAAUUACAAGGGUCUUGUACUAGCUGUCCAAGUUCAAUAGUUACCCUGAAAAGCGGAGUUCAAAACAUGCUUCAAUUUUAUAUACCUGAGGUGAUAGCUGUUGAACAAGUUGAAGACGAAAUUGAAAUACGAACAAAAGUUGAGUUUGAAAAAUUUGAAAAGAAGUUGCAAGAAAAUGAGGAAAAAAAAGAAUAAUAA